rnacentral:rRNA from 1 species
CUUGCUUCUCUUGAGAGCGGCGGACGGGUGAGUAAUGCCUAGGAAUCUGCCUGGUAGUGGGGGAUAACGUUCGGAAACGGACGCUAAUACCGCAUACGUCCUACGGGAGAAAGCAGGGGACCUUCGGGCCUUGCGCUAUCAGAUGAGCCUAGGUCGGAUUAGCUAGUUGGUGGGGUAAUGGCUCACCAAGGCGACGAUCCGUAACUGGUCUGAGAGGAUGAUCAGUCACACUGGAACUGAGACACGGUCCAGACUCCUACGGGAGGCAGCAGUGGGGAAUAUUGGACAAUGGGCGAAAGCCUGAUCCAGCCAUGCCGCGUGUGUGAAGAAGGUCUUCGGAUUGCAAAGCACUUUAAGUUGGGAGGAAGGGUUGUAGAUUAAUACUCUGCAAUUUUGACGUUACCGACAGAAUAAGCACCGGCUAACUCUGUGCCAGCAGCCGCGGUAAUACAGAGGGUGCAAGCGUUAAUCGGAAUUACUGGGCGUAAAGCGCGCGUAGGUGGUUUGUUAAGUUGGAUGUGAAAUCCCCGGGCUCAACCUGGGAACUGCAUUCAAAACUGACUGACUAGAGUAUGGUAGAGGGUGGUGGAAUUUCCUGUGUAGCGGUGAAAAUGCGUAGAUAUAGGAAGGAACACCAGUGGCGAAAGCGACCACCUGGACUAAUACUGACACUGAGGUGCGAAAGCGUGGGGAGCAAAACAGAAUAGAUACCCUGGUAGUCCACGCCGUUAACGAUGUUCAACUAGCCGUUUGGAAUCCUCUU